rnacentral:rRNA from 1 species
UACGUAGGGUGCAAGCGUUGUCCGGAAUUAUUGGGCGUAAAGAGCUCGUAGGCGGUUUGUCGCGUCUGCUGUGAAAACUCGGGGCUUAACCCCGGGCCUGCAGUGGGUACGGGCAGACUAGAGUGCGGUAGGGGAGACUGGAAUUCCUGGUGUAGCGGUGAAAUGCGCAGAUAUCAGGAGGAACACCGGUGGCGAAGGCGGGUCUCUGGGCCGAUAUUGACGCUGAGGCGCGAAAGCGUGGGGAGCAAACAGG